CGCUCAUCCAGAGGGGCAGAGGGACACGGCCCGUUGAAGCCCCGGCAACCCUCCGGUCGGUACUCCCGGCGCGUGUUCCACCCGCGUCCGCGAGGCUCCCGGCUCGGGAAGGUGCCAAUUCCGUCUCGCGGCGAGAUGCGUCGCGAGGAAGAUGAGGA
rnacentral:ncRNA from 20 species